GAUGAACGCUGGCGGCGUGCCUAAUACAUGCAAGUCGAGCGAAUGGAUUAAGAGCUUGCUCUUAUGAAGUUAGCGGCGGACGGGUGAGUAACACGUGGGUAACCUGCCCAUAAGACUGGGAUAACUCCGGGAAACCGGGGCUAAUACCGGAUAACAUUUUGGACCGCAUGGUUCGCACUUGAAAGGCGGCUUCGGCUGUCACUUAUGGAUGGACCCGCGUCGCAUUAGCUAGUUGGUGAGGUAACGGCUCACCAAGGCAACGAUGCGUAGCCGACCUGAGAGGGUGAUCGGCCACACUGGGACUGAGACACGGCCCAGACUCCUACGGGAGGCAGCAGUAGGGAAUCUUCCGCAAUGGACGAAAGUCUGACGGAGCAACGCCGCGUGAGUGAUGAAGGCUUUCGGGUCGUAAAACUCUGUUGUUAGGGAAGAACAAGUGCUAGUUGAAUAAGCUGGCACCUUGACGGUACCUAACCAGAAAGCCACGGCUAACUACGUGCCAGCAGCCGCGGUAA
rnacentral:rRNA from 1 species